rnacentral:lncRNA from 1 species
UGGCUAGUACAGUAACUUUGUGCAUGGAACAUGAUUAUACCACUUUCUGCUGUACAAGAUAGGUACACGUACUAUUUACUGUUAAUAUUUGUACUUUGCACACUAUUUGGAUGAGAAGUAAGAUAAACUUGCUACUAUCAGUAUGAUAAAAAUGGACAUGUUCUCUACUAAAGUAGAGAUUACUCUAGAGAUGUUACUAGUUGCUCUAUGUUUCAGAACAUAUUCGGCUGUUGUAUGUGGCCAUGCGGCUGCUGUAUAUGAUUGUUGUAACAUAUUCCUGUUAAUAUUUGUACAGACUUUGCACAAUUUUGAUGAGAAGAUAAGCUUGUUACUUGUUAAGAUAAUAAAAAUGGACUUGUUCUCUACUAUAGUAGAGAUUACUCUAGAGAUGUUACUGGUUGCUCUAUAUUUCAGAAUGCUAUGCAGCUGUUGCAUGUGAUUGUUGUAACUUCUUCCUUAAGUGCUGAAUGCAACUGUUGUAUGUAACAUCUGAUUUGUUGCAGGUUUCCCAAAGGUACAAGUUCACUAAGGUUUGGAAGAUCUUCAAGAUGCUGGAGAUUUGGAAUAUCUACAACUAAGAUGGAGUGAUAAUGUUGUAUGUCUUGUUUGUUGAACCUAGAGAUUUGCUCUGCCCAUUUUGGUGCUUGUUAAGCUCAUUUUGGUUGUGUGUGGCACACAUUUAGAAACAUAUGUACAUCUCCUCUUGUGGCGGUACUUUAUUCUGGUUGUGGCAAACAUAUAUGUACUCCUUUUGUGAACAACCUCCUUAUAUAUGGUCGUUUUGUUUAUGGAAUGAAGUUUAAGAUUUCGAUGAAGCCUGUAUGUUACUUUGAUUGAUUUACAUGUAUAAAUUGUAUGAUAUGUC